GUUCUAUUUGAACAAGAUGAAUAAGUCAGCACUUCUUAUCCUGCUUCUCAUCGGACUCCUCGUCCUCACAGAACCCACUGCAUCAGAGCAUGUGUUUUUUAGUCGUCGUCGCAGAUGGACAAGGUGGAACCAAAAGGUUGUUGUAGAAGACAUUUUGGAAGCCAUGGAGCAAAGUGAUAUGCUGCACACAUAGCACUAAACGUCCAUUGUACAAAUUGAAAUCGGACGAUAUCAAUAAAUGAUACAAUAUCCCAAUA